AAGAAGAACUGUCCAGACAGCAUUGACACAUGUUAUGAACACUUUAAAAACGCUUACAUCGUUGUAAUCAGGUUAAGGUUUGAGAUAAAACAUUUACCAAAUAAAUAUUUAAAAUUUGAGACAUUUUAAAAUGUAAGGAAAUAUAACAUUUAAGCAAAAACAUUAAACAAAUGUAUUGUAAACAUUCCAAACGUUAACGUUAUUUACAAUUCAUAUAAAAAUAUUUUUAAGAUUUUAUUAUAAAUGUCUCAUUGCUAGGUAUGAAAUUUGAAAAUCAAAGCGGUUUAUAAAACACAAAUGCUACGUAACUAAAUCUUUGUUGUUCUUCUUGUAGAUUCAUGGACUCCCGUGAUUCCCUGCGGCGCGACAUUUUGUCUUAAGCUGUACGUGUCUGCGCGAUAAAACAAAAAUGUUGUAAUCUGUUGUCUUUGUUUACCACAGAGUUGGCGGAAUUAAAUUAAGAAAGACAGAGCUGUUAAUACACACCGAUACAAACAAUCACGAUUCACUGUCCUGUAGAGAAGGUGCUCGAAGUUUUAGAUUUACAGAGUCGAAUAACAGUUCGCACCAGCAGACACAAGAAAUCUCAGCGACAACAUGGAGCCAGUAUUUAUACACAGACUAUAUAUAAUUUGGAUGAAAAUAGUGCACUCAAAGAGGGGAGAAUACUGGCAACCAACUGAGGUGACAAAACAUGUGAAGGAGGGAACUCUGCCAGAUAGGUUUACCUGGACUCUUCAUGAUCUUUACCUUUUGUGGUUCAAAGGAUGAGUAUUUGGUUGCCAGACAAGCAGUUGAUCAUAGCCAGAGUAUAUCAAAUCUUCAAACAACAGAUGAUCACAGAAAAAAGGUCCCAAAGAAUGGAAGAGGAAGAGAAACAAGUGGGGUAAGUGAAAAUCUAUUUUACCUUUUUGUUGAGGAUGUCCCCGAGAUCACAGAAACAAGUUUCCAAGUUGAUGCUGACACUUGCGAGGACUCUCCGCCAUUUUCCAUCCUCCAGAACCAGCCACAAG